AUGUACUCCGCUUCUGUAAUAUACCAGAUUUUGGUAUAAAAAUAAAAAUAAAUAAAAAUAGUGUGGGAUACUAUUUUUAUUGGAUUUAGAGAAGUAAAAUAUAAGUCAGAAUUGAUUUGUGCUGAAAUCGGAAUGAAAACAGAAGAUUUAGAAUUUUCUGUUGGAAACGAGACAGAUAAAUUAGCAGAAAAUGCACAGUCUCAGAAAAUUAUGAAAAUUGGAGAAUAAGUCAGAAAUAUUUUUAUGAGGCUAGAUUUAAAGUUU
rnacentral:lncRNA from 1 species